rnacentral:tRNA from 1 species
GGAGGGAUGGUGAGUGGCUUAAGGCAUUGGUUUGCUAAAUCGACAUACAAUCUUCUUGUAUCAUGGGUUCGAAUCCCAUUUCCUCCG